CACGUAGGGCGCAAGCGUUGUCCGGAAUUAUUGGGCGUAAAGAGCUCGUAGGCGGUUUGUCGCGUCUGCUGUGAAAACUGGAGGCUCAACCUCCAGCCUGCAGUGGGUACGGGCAGACUAGAGUGCGGUAGGGGAGAUUGGAAUUCCUGGUGUAGCGGUGGAAUGCGCAGAUAGUCAGGAGGAACACCGAUGGCGAAGGCAGAUCUCUGGGCCGUAACUGACGCUGAGGAGCGAAAGCAUGGGGAGCGAACAGG
rnacentral:rRNA from 1 species